GUGCUCGCUUCGGCAGCACAUAUACUAAAAUUGGAACGAUACAGAGAAGAUUAGCAUGGCCCCUAAAUGUACGCUACAACAGCAGCAAGAGUUCUUCUAGCAAAGUAUU